ensembl:lncRNA
GAGGGAAAAAAGGAUCUAAAAUUACAAAUGAACAAUAAAUCCUCCCGUUUGUUUUUCUUUUGCAUUUCUUCGGGCUCCAGCUCCGACUCCCCGACCAGCAGCAGGCCGAGGUCCGCUGCCUGCUGAGCGCGGAGCAGAGCCGAGCGACCCGGUGUCCUCCGCAGCCUCCACCGGGGUCUGAACGCCUCCAUCCGCUCUCAGCUCCGCCUCGGUCCCCGGGCAGUCGUCCAACCAACCAACCCCCCCAGCGGAAACCUUCCCGCAUUACAGCGUCCGAACCCGGCGGAGCCCUGGUCCAUGUGGGCACCGGGCAGCCGGGGCGAGCGCAACUCCUUCUGGCCGAGCAGAGCGCCCCAGAGGCGGGGGGAUGGAGCCGCUCUGUCCGCCCCUCUGGAGAGGGUGGGUCCGCAGACCCCACGCUGCUGUAGGUCGGUGUUAGUGUCACUCAGGAGUCGGAUGAUGCUCCGUUUUUCUUAGUUAAACCCCUUUAGAGGUGAUCAGUGACCACAGAGUGAGAGAAACUAACUGCUCGCUGGAAAACUAACUUUGAUUUUUACUGAAUGGAGUCAGACAGAAGGACCAGCUCUGUGGACAUUUGGACAAUUUCUGCAUCAUUUUGGACAAAUGUUGAUUCAUUUUGGGACAAAUUUUGAGUGAUUUUAGGAACAUUUUGAGUUAUUGUAGGAACUUUUCGAGCCAUUUGGAAUAAGUUUGCAUCAUUUUGGACAAAUUUUGUGUAAUUUGGGGAACAUUUUGAGUAAUUUUGGGAACUUUUUGAGCCAUUUGACCAAAUUUUCCAUCAUUCUGGACAAAUUUUGAUAGAUUUUGGGAACAUUUUGUGAAAUUCUGGGAACUUUUUUGAGCCAUUUGGACAAAUUCUACAUCAUGUUGGACAAAUAUUGAGUAAUUUGGGGAACUCUAUGAACAGCUCCUGAUGUCUCUGACUGGAGCUUUAGUUUGUGCUGAGCUGCUAACAGAGAACAUCUGGAUGUGCUGAGCUGCUGACAGAGAACAUCUGGAUGUGUUGAGCUGCUAACAGGGAACAUCUGGAUGUGUUGAAGCUGCUAACAGGGAACAUCUGGAUGUGUUGAAGCUGCUGACAGAGAACAUCUGGAUGUGUUGAAGCUGCUGACAGAGAACAUCUGGAUGUGUUGAGCUGCUAACAGGGAACAUCUGGAUGUGUUGAAGCUGCUAACAGGGAACAUCUGGAUGUGUUGAAGCUGCUGACAGAGAACAUCUGGAUGUGUUGAAGCUGCUGACAGAGAACAUCUGGAUGUGCUGAGCUGCUCUGUUGAACUGUGUGUUGGUGUUUAAUCUUUGUAACCCACAGAUGGAGCUGCUGUUCAAACAGUGCUGAGUGGGCGUUCCUGUUCCUGCAGGCUGGGCUUUGCUUUGGCUCUUGUUUUUGUGUCCUCUCCGCCUACUUGUUGAGUUCUUGUGUAACCGUCGGGUGUGUUGUCGUCGUGUUGUUGUUGUUGUUGAAGAGCAGCUGAUCAUGGACACACUGCCAUGUGGGUUGCUGACCGUCUGCUGGUGUGCGUUUUGUGUCACAGCUGAAGUCCACAGACAGAUGGAAGCCGUCGCUGGAGACGAUGUUCUUCUCGACUGUCGGUCUCUCCACAAUGACGUCACACUUCUGGAGUGGAUCAGACCCGACCUGAAGGCCGACGGAUACGUUUUCUUCUACCGCGAGAGGCGCUCGUAUGAAAACUAUCAGCAUCCAUAUUUUAAUGGCCGAGUGAAGCUGGGAGAUCUGCGGAUGGAAAACGGAAAUAUGUCUGUCCUCCUGACCAACGUACAGCCAGAUACAGACAACGGAACAUACCUGUGUGAUGUUUCUGGAGGAACCAAACGAAGAGGCAGGACAACUUCUUCUGAGAUCAAGCUGACCGUUUCCCCUGCAAAACCCAGAAACAUUCAGAAACAAAUCUGGAAUGGAGGAAACAAGGAUGGAGGAAACAGGGAUGGAGGAAAUAAGGAUGGAGGAAAUAAGGAUGGAGGAGACAAGGAUGGAAAUAAUCGAAGGCGUAAUGGAUUGAUAGUGUUUCUGUCACUUUCUGUUGCGAUGGCUUUUCUUGUUUUCAUUGUAAUCCGUAAAGAACAUAUGCCGAUCUCGAAAGAACAGAGGAAGAAUUCAGUUCCUCCUGAUGGAGCAGCAGCUGAACAGAUGUUGUGAAAGUUUUUCUGGACAGCAGCAGAACAAAGCACAGCUUCUGUAACUCUGAUGGAACCAGCAGCAGCAGAACAAAGAGAAUCCAGGUGUGGACCAACCAUGUGGUCUCUCCUUUAACUGCCACCUUAUGGUGGUGGAGGGUUUGUGAGCUCAGAGGAUGCUGGGAGAUCUGCUGUCUGGAGUUCAGCUCCUGGUAGGGUUUCUGUUGGCAGACUGGUCCAGAAACAUCAAGUCCUCCCAACAUCUCCAUCAUCUAGAUUUAUCCUGUGGAUUGUUGCUGCUGCUGCUGCUGCUGGUCUUCAUCAACUUUUCUACUCUGUUGGUUUGUCUGUAAACACUUCGCUGUUCAGAUCACUUCACUACCUUCCAGUUGCUGCCCGCAUAAAGUUCAAAACUAGAAUGAAAAAAUCUCCCUCCUACCUGAACUCUCUCAUCCAGAUCUACACUCCCUCCCUCCAACCACAGGAUUCUAAUCCAACCUCCACAGAGGUCCAGAGAUCUUCUCCUCUGUGGUUCCUCGGUGGUGGAACCAGUUGCCAAACUCUGUUCAGUCUUUAAGAAAAGACUAAAAACCAGAUCUUCACUGAACACCUUUAACUUGACAGACUGCAAAAAUAAAAAUAAAAAUAAAAAAAUCCUAGUACGUCUACUUCCUGUAGACACCACAGUUCUAUUAUCACACCUGAACUUGUUUCAUGGCUCUUAUCUGGGUUAUUUUCUCCUGACUAGAUCGUUGCUGGUGGUGGAUCUACUCUCAGAUGGACGUCUUUGGAAUGGAUACCGGAUCAUGUGACCUAAAUAUGUAGCGGGUGGCGGGAAUUGAUGGGACUCAGAAACACCCCCACAAUUUAAUCAGUUGUUCCUUGGAUCAUUUCUGAUGGAUAAGUCCUGAUAAGUCCUCAGUGGUGGAUUUGUAGUAGGAUCACAAUCAUGUGAUCAUGUAGCAUUCAUUUGUUGUCAUGGUUACAGUGACGCCGUGCCGCUAUCUGGCAAUGAUACAGAAAUCUUUAACUAAUCUGUAGAUCCAGACUAGGAGCUGCAUCACUGCCAAAAUCUAAUCACUUGGUCCUUGUGUCAUUUCUGACCUUCAAUGGAAAUUUCAUCCACAUCUGUUUAUGAGUGAUGUUGCUAACAGACAGACAGACAGACAGACAGACAGACAGACAGACAGACAGACGUACACCGAUCAUCACAUAACUCCACCGUUCUUUGGCGAAGUUGUGCGACGAUCACUGGAAAUAAAUCUGGAAAUAAAUGUGUUCCAAAGCUCUGCAUGUUAGAACCUGAUGAAAUGUUGUGGAUGUAAAGUGUUCUGUCAGAUGAGAUCAGAACCACAUAGAAAAGUUCUGAUUGUCCAGAAUGAAGCACAACUGAUGAACAGAACUUUAGAUUGAACUUGUUUUAUUGUUUAAUCUGUUAGUAGCUCUGAUGAUGGUCUAAACUGUCGUACAGGAUAAGCUAAUUUGAUAUAUUUUGUACAUUUUUAUACUACUCAGUGGUCUGUAAGUUUCAUCUUCAUCCUAUAUCAUGUUUUGUUGUUAGUCUGCAGAUAAAUGUAGUCCAGUAAAAUAACAUUGUUUGCUACUGAACUGUAGUGAAGGUUGAAUAGAAUAAACUGAACUGAUGCUGAUAGAAUUCUGUUUAUACUAUAACACAAUGGAAAUAUGGAACUUUACUGCUGCUUUUUGCACUUUGGCUUUGAUGCAAAACUGUUUGUCUUUGUUCUUGUAUUUGGACAGUAAAGUUGAAUCUACUCAGUGAUCUGUGCUUCAUUAUAAUUUCUGUAAAUAUAUUUAGGAUUUUAAAGCUGGUUUCUUUUCUGCAGCAGUGAUAAUAAAGGUUGUUUCCCCAGAUUGUGAUCCUGCUGGUUCAUGUCUGACUACAACCUGUUGAACUGGUUCAGAACAAACAUAGAUCAGGAGUUUCUACAGGAUCAGUCCAUAGAGAUUUUAUAAAACCAGUAAUAUAAUAAUGUGCUGUGUGGACAGAGCUGCACUUUAUUGUUGAACUGUGUGUAUUAGAGGUGUGUGUUGUGUUUCAUCUCCAUGCUGUCUGAGGAUCAUAGAACUGGACCGUCCUCAUUGACGUGGAGUUUAACCCUCUAAUCUCCAAAACCACUCAUCUGUAAUAUUUUAAAAAUGCCAGACAUUUAUUCUGAAAGUUUAGUUCCUCUUCCUGUAGCUCAGCUCUGAGUUUUGAACACAAACAUGAAGAAGUAGUUUGUUGUUCUCAGACCACAUUAACACGACUCUGCUGGAUGAAGACUGUUUUGUUGAUCACAGAUCUGUGCAGCACAAGAACAAACUCUGGAACUUCAUUAAAUGUUUUGAAUUUCAAAUGUGG